rnacentral:rRNA from 1 species
UACAGAGGGUGCAAGCGUUGUUCGGAAUUAUUGGGCGUAAAGGGCGCGUAGGCGGUGCGGUAAGUCUUUUGUGAAAUCUCCGGGCUCAACUCGGAGUCUGCAGGAGAAACUGCCGUGCUUGAGUAUGGGAGAGGUGAGUGGAAUUCCUGGUGUAGCGGUGAAAUGCGUAGAUAUCAGGAGGAACACCUGUGGCGAAAGCGGCUCACUGGACCAUUACUGACGCUGAUGCGCGAAAGCGUGGGGAGCGAACAGG